AAAACAUGGUGUAAUUUUCAUAGCAACCCAAAUGGUCUUCAUCUGCAGGUUGGAACGGUUUAAACCACGGCUCUUGAUGUAGAUGAAUCCAACCUUAAAUAAUACGAUAAAACGAAAAGGUCCAUCACCAACUGAAUUUGCGAUCAACGUGGUUUUUGUUAUAUUUUAUGGUGUUAUUAAUAUACUUACCAACCACCUGGAAUCCAGUUA